UGAGCCUUAUUACUGUAAUUGGAAAAUGGCCCACAUGCCAAUCAACUUAUAAUAAGUAAUUAUGUUCAUAAAUACUGUAAAAUUAUUAGCUUUUAAUUUGAUCUCAUGACAUACCUUCAAAACAGUUGCAUGGAUUUUCUAUUUCUAAAGGAACAAAAUAUACUGACAAGAAUUUAGCAAGCACAUUCUUAACUGCUCAGAAGUUCAUGAUCAUCAGAUGACCUUCAGAAACUAUCUGAGAAGGCAUGCAAUUUCUUUAAAAGUGCUUAGCAGUGUAAAACAGUCUCUGCAAUAAAAAGUUGAAAAGAAACACCUGGAGAAUUAAGCAGAUGCUAGAAAAGGAUUCCUGGGAUAAUCUAUGUAAAAAGGUGGACACUGUACUGGAGAUGCAUGUCACUGAAAUUCCUGGGCUCAGACAGGCGUCCCACAAAAAUCAGGAGCUGGUUGGCAGCCCAGAGAGAAAUCCUGCUGCAUUGAAUACCAGUAGAACAUCAGAUGUAACAUCACAUAUUCCGGAGAUGUGAAGCUACUGAUGCUCACCAAUCCUUGAUGCACUGUGUACUGAUGCUCAGUACAAUUCUCAGUGCCUAUGGAAUUAAUCAUGCAUGUAUAUGCCUGUGUUUCAGUUCAGAUCCUAACUCAUCCCAUUCUCUUCGUUUAUAUAAUGAUUACUAAAUAUAAAUAAAGUCCACACACUUCUACAUGAAAUAACGCUUCUUUGACACUAUAGGAGGAAAAGAGGUCCGAGUGACACAGCUUUGAGCUGGUCUGGCUCUGUACAAAAUGUGCCAGCUAUGGAAAGCAUAAGAUCACCACAGAGCUGAUAAUCCUAAGAAAAUCUGCCAAGUAGCAAGCUUGUAAAAAUCUACUAUGACCUUCAAUUUACAAGCUAUAAGCUACUUUUACCAAAUGGCUGCUGUCAUCAGUGUAUGGCUGACACUAGACUUCAGUGACAAGACUGUGUUGUCUUUUCAAUAAAGUGUUGACUAAAUUAAUUUUUCCCCAUGAGACAUUCACUUAUCAACAAACUGUUAAAAGACCCCUAUUUAUGGCUGGGAAUGUGCUUGGUUCUUGUUCUCUAGAAGUUGUCAUCUGGUAAUAAAGACAGGCAAGGAAUUUUUUUGUGAGUGUACAGAGGAGAGGAUGUAUAGAUGAAAUCAGACGAGGGGCAUGAGAAACCUAGGGUUCUCAGGCCCAAAGAGGGUGUCAAGGAUGGAUAUACCAAGACUUUUUGGAAGAUGGGCUGAGAUGUACAGAGGGGUGUGGAAGUCAUGGGUUGUAAGGUGAAAGCCAGCUUCACAGAAAUGUAAAUAAGCAAAGGUGUGGAGUAGGAGAGAAGAAUAGGACUGUGGAGACAAUCUGGAGAUGGCCAAUGAGAACAAGCUUGAUGGUAAUGCAUCAUAUGUUGAAACCUAAAGCUAGUUACUCAAAGUGAGACUCUGGAACAAGACUUAGAAACACAGUCCUAUAUUCAAUAGAAGGCAGCAGGAAGAGACAGGAACAGAAGACUGAGGUCAUAUGCCAGUGAUUUUGCUGAGGCCUGAAAAUGUUUCAUUUUGAAAAAGUUCUGUUACAAAUUAAAGACUAGUUUUCUUAAAUGAGUACAAAGCACUGCUACGGAAGGAGAACACAUACAUCUGAACAGUCUGACAGCAUUUCCACAGAACACCUUGGGGGAUUGAACACAAGAGUCUGAGAUUGCUACAAAAUUGCAAGCUGAAGGCAACUGGCAGCCACAACCAAGUUUAUGAAAGUAAUCAGGGGGUGAACAAGGAAUAAGGUUCCAGAAGAAUCUAAUUUGCAGUCAGCUUCCCCAUCUACAGAAUCCAAAGUGGCAGGGGUUGUAAAGGUCAUUUUUUAAUUGAAAAGCUUUUCCUUAUGUAUUUAAUGAAGAAAAUAAAACCUCUUUAAUGCUAUAAUUAAACAAUUGCAGCAUGUUAUUAAUUCUUAAUAAUAUACAGAAAGAAGAUAGAGGGAACAUAUUUCUCAUUAAACGAGAUCAUAUCCAUGCUGGUGUCAGGUUGAACUCUCUACAUUUAUUAAGUGGAUCCAUCAAGUGCUCCUUGUGUGACCUCUGCAUUCCUUGCAUUUAUAUAGUAGG